GACGAACGCUGGCGGCGUGCCUAAUACAUGCAAGUAGAACGCUGAAGGAGGAGCUUGCUUCUCUGGAUGAGUUGCGAACGGGUGAGUAACGCGUAGGUAACCUGCCUGGUAGCGGGGGAUAACUAUUGGAAACGAUAGCUAAUACCGCAUAAGAGUAGAUGUUGCAUGACAUUUGCUUAAAAGGUGCAAUUGCAUCACUACCAGAUGGACCUGCGUUGUAUUAGCUAGUUGGUGGGGUAACGGCUCACCAAGGCGACGAUACAUAGCCGACCUGAGAGGGUGGUCGGCCACACUGGGACUGGGACACGGCCCAGACUCCUACGGGAGGCAGCAGUAGGGAAUCUUCGGCAAUGGACGGAAGUCUGACCGAGCAACGCCGCGUGAGUGAAGAAGGGUUUCGGAUCGUAAAGCUCUGUUGUAAGAGAAGAACGAGUGUGAGAGUGGAAAGUUCACACUGUGACGGUAUCUUACCAGAAAGGGACGGCUAACUACGUG
rnacentral:rRNA from 1 species